AUGCUCGCAAGAGUGAACUAGCUAACUGAAAUCACAUGAGUCAUGCGUAAUUGUUGGUGAUUGUGAUAACGUAAGGGAAAAAAAUGAUAUUACCUUACUAUUAGUGUUGUCCAAAACUGGUGCCAGAAGACUCGGUAAGGCCAGAGACGCAAACGUUAGUCGUCCUAAUCAGGCGUAAAGGGUAUGUAGGCUGCUUUAAAAGUUUUAUUUAUAAAUAGCUCUGUUACCGUAAUAAUAAAAUUUAAUUAAAUUUUAUUAUAUAAAUUAUAUUUACUCUUAUCUUUAAAUUAAUUCAUGUUUUAAAUAUUCUGUAAGGGUUAAUUAAUUCUUUUGAGUAAAUAAAAAGAAUAAAGGCAAAAAUAAAUGAUAUUUAAAUGUUUAUAAAAUAACACUAAAAUAUACGUGUAACAGUAUAAAAUAAGAUGAAUUAAAGCUAGAAUCAAAUUGGGGAUAAACCGAAUAAUACUUAGAGUAGGGAUUAUAUCCGUAGAUACUAAGGGGAAUACUAAAGGUGAAAGCUUUUUAUCUACUAAUGAUUGACGCUGAGAAACGAAGGUGAGAAUAGGAAAUAGGAUUAGAUACCCAGAUACCUCUCACUGUCAACGAUGAAUGGUGGUUGUUAGUUUUAAUAAAAACUGGUAACGAUGUUAACACGAUAACCAUUCCGCCUUGCGAGUACGGUUGCAAAACUGAAACCAAAAAAAUUAGUCGGUCUCGAAGCAAACGAAGUG
rnacentral:rRNA from 1 species